rnacentral:rRNA from 1 species
ACCGAAAGCGGCGGACGGGUGAGUAACGCGUGGGAAACCUGCCCUAUGCAGGGGGAUAGCCUCGGGAAACCGGGAUUAAUACCCCAUAAAACUCUAACACCGCAUGGUGUGUGAGUCAAAGCUUUAGCGGCAUAGGAUGGUCCCGCGUCCCAUUAGCUAGUUGGUGAGGUAACGGCUCACCAAGGCGACGAUGGGUAGCCGGCCUGAGAGGGUGGACGGCCACACUGGGACUGAGACACGGCCCAGACUCCUACGGGAGGCAGCAGUGGGGAAUAUUGCACAAUGGGCGAAAGCCUGAUGCAGCGACGCCGCGUGAGCGAAGAAGGCCUUCGGGUCGUAAAGCUCUGUCCUAAGGGAAGAAUUUUGACGGUACCUUAGGAGGAAGCCCCGGCUAACUACGUGCCAGCAGCCGCGGUAAUACGUAGGGGGCGAGCGUUGUCCGGAAUCACUGGGCGUAAAGGGUGCGUAGGCGGCCCUGCAAGUCAGGUGUGAAAGGCCUCGGCUCAACCGAGGUGAGCACUUGAAACUGUAGGGCUUGAGUGCAGGAGAGGAGAGCGGAAUUCCUAGUGUAGCGGUGAAAUGCGUAGAUAUUAGGAGGAACACCAGUGGCGAAGGCGGCUCUCUGGACUGUAACUGACGCUGAGGCACGAAAGCGUGGGGAGCGAACAGGAUUAGA